GAGUUUGAUCGUGGCUCAGAUUGAACGCUGGCGGCAUGCCUUACACAUGCAAGUCGAACGGCAGCAUGAUCUAGCUUGCUAGAUUGAUGGCGAGUGGCGAACGGGUGAGUAAUACAUCGGAACGUGCCCUGUAGUGGGGGAGUAACUAGUCGAAAGAAUUAGCUAAUACCGCAUACGACCUGAGGGUGAAAGUAGGGGGACCGGCAAGGCCUCAUGCUAUAGGAGCGGCCGAUGUCUGAUUAGCUAGUUGGUGGGGUAAAGGGACCCGA
rnacentral:rRNA from 1 species